GAUGAACGCUAGCGACAGGCCUAACACAUGCAAGUCGAGGGGCAGCGCGGAAGUAGCUUGCUAUUUCUGGCGGCGACCGGCGCACGGGUGAGUAACGCGUAUCCAACCUGCCCGCCACUCGGGUAUAGCCCAGUGAAAACUGGAUUAAUCCCUGAUGGUCUCCUUUGCGGACAUCUGACGAGGAGUAAAGAUUCAUCGGUGGUGGAUGGGGAUGCGUCCGAUUAGCUAUGUUGGCGGGGUAACGGCCCACCAAGGCAACGAUCGGUAGGGGUUCUGAGAGGAAGGUCCCCCACAUUGGAACUGAGACACGGUCCAAACUCC
rnacentral:rRNA from 1 species